GAAUUCGUUCUGGGAUUUCCAGACAACACUGGUAGUUGUCAAAGACUGGUUUGUAUCUUCGGGCACCUGAUUCAGGUUGAAAGAUUUCCAUGCAUUCAAGGCCAGUAUCCAGAAAAUGACAAAAUGAGCAUGGAAAAAGUCAUUCAACGCCGAUCCAUCCUUACCACCAUUCCACCAACUUUUACAACACAUGCUUUUAAGACAACAGAUUUUACGACAAUCCCCUCUAACAUGUGUCAAUAUAACGGAAGGUGGUAUAUGCCAGGAACAUUGAUCGAAAAAGGUCAAAGUGGAAACUGGUGUUAUUCUACAUACUGCUCACAUGACGGCCAUUUGCUUUAUGGUGACAACUUCCAUUGUAUGACAACCAUCCCUGUUUUUACCACUGUUCCUACCACUCUUCCCACCACUACCACCCCCACGCCCACAUCAACACAGUUCUUCAUCACUCCCAUGCAUUGCUUUUUCAAAGACCCAACCACCGGAGAAACGGUUGUCUGGCGAGGUGGAACCGAGGGCAAAUUGAGUGAUGGUACCGCGUGCAGAUGUGAAUACUGGGGUCGACUGUCUUGUCCUGAAAACAAUGUCGGCAAAUGAUUAUCUAGGUGUCUCCAUCUGAUUGUACUUCAAUAAAGUUUUAUUUCAAGU
rnacentral:misc_RNA from 1 species